UGAAUUUAAGCAUAUCACUAAGCGGAGGAAAAGAAACUAACAAGGAUUCCCCUAGUAGCGGCGAGCGAAGAGGGAAGAGCCCAGCACCGAACCUCGCGCCCUCGGGUGUCGCGGAAUGUGGUGUUCAGGAGGACCGUGCGCGUCUGUCCGGUAUCGUCCAAGUCUCCAUGAAUGGGGCCAGCAACCCAGAGAGGGUGUCAGGCCCGUGGGACGAGCCGCGACCGUGUAUUGGGUCUCUCCUUAGAGUCGGGUUGCUUGAGAGUGCAGCCCUAAGCGGGAGGUAAACUCCUUCUAAGGCUAAAUACGGCCACGAGACCGAUAGCAAACAAGUACCGCGAGGGAAAGUUGAAAAGAACUUUGAAGAGAGAGUUCAAGAGUGCGUGAAACCGUUCAGGGGGUUAAACGGGUGGGCCCUCGAAGGUCGAACGGUCCCCACUCCCGUCACCUGUAGUGCCGGCCCGUGCUGCUUUUCGAUUCCGCUACGGAACGAGGCUUGGUGCGGUUCGCCGGUCUACGGGGGCCGCUAGCUGGGGACCCAGUAGGACUCCGCAACCGGCUGGGAGGCCGUCAGAAGGGUUCUGUGAGGAAGCCCCCUCGUUGGGGUGGAUUCCGGGAUUCCGGGCGGUCCUCUCGGCCGUGAACCAAAAUUUCUCUCCUCACGGGGAGAAUGAGCGGAGAGUAGAGUCGGGUCCCACCCGACCCGUCUUGAAACACGGACCAAGGAGUCUAACAUGUGCGCGAGUCGUCGGGUACUACUAAACCCGAAGGCGUAAUGAAAGUGAAGGCCGCCCUUGUUGGCGGCCGAGGGGAGAUCCCGUUCUGCUCCGGUAGCUCGGGCGCAUCCCCGGGGCGUCGAAGCCGCGUUGCCGGCUAGACGAACCAAGAGCGUACACGUUGGGACCCGAAAGAUGGUGACCUAUGCCUGGCCAGGACGAAGCCAGGGGAAACCCUGGUGGAGGUCCGCAGCGAUUCUGACGUGCAAAUCGAUCGUCUGAGUUGGGUAUAGGGGCGAAAGACUAAUCGAACCAUCUAGUAGCUGGUUCCCCCCGAAGUUCCCUCAGAA
rnacentral:rRNA from 1 species